UACGAAGGGGGCUAGCGUUGUUCGGAGUUACUGGGCGUAAAGGGCGCGUAGGCGGCGCACCAAGUCAGGCGUGAAAGCCCUGGGCUCAACCCGGGAAUUGCGCUUGAGACUGGUGUGCUUGAGUACGGGAGAGGAUAGUGGAAUUCCCGAGUGUAGAGGUGAAAUUCGUAGAUAUUGGGAAGAACACCGGUGGCGAAGGCGGCUAUCUGGACCGUAACUGACGCUGAGGCGCGAAAGCGUGGGGAGC
rnacentral:rRNA from 1 species